AGGGAUGCUUUAGAGUAGGCCUGGGCAACGAACUGAGCUAGCUCGGGGAUUGGCUCACUAUAUUUAGCUCAACAAUUUAGCUUGCCUCGGUUAAAGCUGGCUUGGCACAUUUGGUGAUAUACAGAAGUGGAGGACAUCAGAACUUCCAAAAUAGGAGACCAAAUAUCGAUCACUGAAGUGGGAGAGUGAGAGAUAGAAGAGGCAGAACCACUACAGACUCAACAACAAGAAGUGGUCAGUAAUAAAGAAAGGGAGACAUCAGUAUGGGUACAACAAAACUUAAUCAAGUUGGGGAAGAUUCUGGGGUCAUGAAGAAGAGGCUAUUACAAGUGGAUAGCGCGAGACAAGCAAGGAGAAUGGAACCAGAAAUAGUGUGCAUGUAAACAAGACUUCGAGGCUCCCAAGAAUUGAAAAGCCUAGUGAAUUUUGAUGUUAAGUCGUUAAGAAAUAGUUAGAAUAGGAGUAAGGGGAGAAAUAUGACUAUGUCAUUGAUGAAAUUCAAGUUAGUUACAUGGCAUGUAAGGGGACUGAAUGACAAGGACUAAAGAAGAUUGGUUAAAAGUGUGAUGGAGGAGUGAAAUUUAGAUAUCAUUUGUCGGCAAGAAACCAAAUUAGAGGGGAAUGUGGAAGAAAAAGUUGGACAAAUAUGGGGAGGUAGUGGAUCAAAUAUGCAAGUUUGGAGGCUAGUGGAGCUAGAGGGGGAAUUUUAAUGUUAUGGGACAAUAGGGCCUUGAAAGGCAACAUUGUGGAAACUGGAUUGUACACUUUGACUUGUAAAUUUGAGUCUCAAUUGUACAACUACUCUUGCCAUAUCACAGGGGUGUAUGGCCCUAAUUUUUAUAUAAAAAGGAGGUCUGUUUGGGAGGAAUUGGGGGCUAUAAGGGGUAUAAUAAAAGGACCUUGGGCUGUAUGUGGUGAUUUUAAUGUAGUAAGGUUUAUCUCGGAGAGAAGAAAUUGUGAGAGAAGAACCAGAGUCAUGAAGGAAUCUUCAGAUGUUAUUGAAGACCUAAAUUUGGUAAACCUACAGCUAGAAGACAACAAUUACAUGUGGUUCAAAGGGGACAAUCUCGAGGCAACCUCUAGAAUUGAUGGAAUUUUGAUAUCAGAAAAAUGGGAUGACAACUUCAAUAACAUAAGGCAAAGUGUUCUACAGAGACUCAUAUCAGACCAUAGUCCUGUAGCAUUACAAGGGGAUGUAUGGAACAAAAAGAAGAAGCACUUUAAAUUUGAAAAUUGGUGGCUUGGCAUAGAUGGCAUAGAAGGGUUCACUGAUAGAAUCAAUAGCUGGUGGCAUUCUUUCAACUUCUCCGGGAGACGUGACUUUAUUCUUGUUUUAAAACUUAAGGCUCUAAAAACCAAACUUAAGGAUUGAGCAUUAGUGAACAAGGGAAUCUAGGAUCAAAAAAGAGAGUUCUCAAAAAACUGAGUUUGAUCAGAUUAUAAAGGGCAGAGGAUUAGGAUUAUCAGAAUGGGAGAUUUCAAGCAAGAAUUCAACUUUACUAGAAUAUGAGGAGUUACUAUAAAAAAUUAGGAAAUCUCAUGGAGGCAAAAAUCCAGAUCACUAUGGCUCAAAGAAGGGGAUAGGAACACCAAGUUCUUCCACAAAAUGGCCAAUGCUCACAAAA